rnacentral:lncRNA from 1 species
CUCCGUGAAUGUAGAUUCCCAUCGUUGGCUGUUAUCGUUAGAUCCCUCGCAUAUAGUUGGAGCGAAUUAAUAUUUACCGAAUGAAUUAAUCAAUGGAAAAAGAGUUCCCAAGGUUUCACAGACACUGAGCGGAGAAGCCCGAAUUAUGAUCCCGGUCUCCUGACCCUAGCCAGGGCUUUUAAUUUGCCAUGGCGGUUCUGACUGCGGGAUCCCAGCAGCAGCCUUUUGCAUGGGUCGCUCCAGUUAGGUAAAUCAACUCAGGUGAUGUGUGUUGCAAAAAUUAAAGCAAUGCCAGCAUGUAAAAAUAAAAGUGGAAUUCCUUUCCAUUGCAUCUCCCCUUUCUCAUGUUCCAGAGGAACAUCUUUCUGCUUAAGAAUUUCAAUCAUCAAAGUUGUAAAAUAACUACUGAGAAACCAAUACAUUUUCUUCAAUGGAA